UGGGUUAUUUUUUUACCCAAAUACUGGUUUAUGACAAUUUUACUACUUAUUGGGUUUUUUAUACCCACACUGGGUAAUUUGAUAGAAACGUGCUGGGUUAUAUGUUUACCCAAUUAUUGGUGUGUGGUCGUUUGACCAUAUACUGGGUUAUGCUAACCAUUGAUGAGUUAUUAUACCCAAUCACUGGGUUUAUCAUAACAUUUGAAAUCAGAGCCAGCCAACGGACUUUUUCCUGGAAGUCAACUGAACUGAGGAAACAUUCAACAACAAGGAAAGGUUAACCAGAGACCGCACUGGCGUCCGGAUCCUUUGUAAGCUGAUCACGUUAUGUCCGUCUGUGCUAAGACUGGAAGUGACUGAAAGACAACACAGAUGCAUUCUUUCAGCAAGGUGACCAAAAUCUGUUUCACUCUGCAGCACUUGUCCUGGAGGUUUUGUAGACAGAACUGGAAGUGACUGAAAGAAAACGGAGACUCAUUCUUUCAGCAAGGU